rnacentral:rRNA from 1 species
GACGAACGCUGGCGGCGUGCCUAAUACAUGCAAGUCGAACGCACUCUCGUUUAGAUUGAAGGAGCUUGCUCCUGAUUGAUAAACAUUUGAGUGAGUGGCGGACGGGUGAGUAACACGUGGGUAACCUGCCCUAAAGUGGGGGAUAACAUUUGGAAACAGAUGCUAAUACCGCAUAAAACCUAAACACCGCAUGGUGUAGGGUUGGAAGAUGGUUUCGGCUAUCACUUUAGGAUGGACCCGCGGUGCAUUAGUUAGUUGGUGAGGUAAAGGCUCACCAAGACCGUGAUGCAUAGCCGACCUGAGAGGGUAAUCGGCCACACUGGGACUGAGACACGGCCCAGACUCCUACGGGAGGCAGCAGUAGGGAAUCUUCCACAAUGGACGAAAGUCUGAUGGAGCAACGCCGCGUGAGUGAAGAAGGUUUUCGGAUCGUAAAACUCUGUUGUUGGAGAAGAAUGUAUCUGAUAGUAACUGAUCAGGUAGUGACGGUAUCCAACCAGAAAG